GCGUGCAGUGACCUGGUC
rnacentral:siRNA from 1 species